rnacentral:lncRNA from 1 species
UUGUUCUCAAAUGCUAUGAAUUAAGAACAAGGCAACAUAAAAUGUUAAAUAUCAAUGCCCUUCGUCCGCCGAAGCAUUAUCUCCACAAGGAUUUAAUGAACUUCGGACGAAGGUCACGAGCAUAAUAUUACGAAGGUUUCACCUUCGUAAUUAAACUUAUAAAGAUAAUACAAAGUAAUGUAAAACGUGAAACAUUAAAAGGUAAACAUAUUGAAAAUAAAUGACAUCAUUCACAUAUCUUAUUGUAUGAAUCUAAGAUGUUUCACUAUAACAUUUAGCUACAUUUAUACCUUUGCCUUGACAAACAAUAAUUCCCGAGUGAUGCGUUUGCAAUUACAGGAAUGCGUGAACAGUAAAGGAAUACUGUUCACUAUUUAUAGGCACAGGACACAGCCUGUGAGGAAUUACAAUCAUGCCCCUCAUAAAAGUUUACAACAUUGACUCAGACCCUUAUGGACUAAAAGGUCAUUCUAUCUCUAAGUCGGUUCGAUCCUUCAUCUUC